GCCUCGAUAGUGUAGUGGUCAUCACAUCACGCCCGACAUGUAACCAGGGAGAUGUGUGUUCGAUACCCGCUAGGGACA